UACGUAGGGUGCAAGCGUUGUCCGGAAUUAUUGGGCGUAAAGGGCUCGUAGGCGGUUUGUCACGUCGGGUGUGAAAACUCGAGGCUUAACCCCGAGCCUGCUUCCGAUACGGGCAGACUAGAGGUAUGCAGGGGAGAACGGAAUUCCUGGUGUAGCGGUGAAAUGCGCAGAUAUCAGGAGGAACACCGGUGGCGAAGGCGGAUCUCUGGGCCGUACCUGACGCUGAGGAGCGAAAGCAUGGGGAGCAAACAGG
rnacentral:rRNA from 1 species